rnacentral:rRNA from 1 species
AUUGAACGCUGGCGGCAUGCUUUACACAUGCAAGUCGAACGGCAGCGCGGGCUUCGGCCUGGCGGCGAGUGGCGAACGGGUGAGUAAUACAUCGGAACGUGCCCCGCAGUGGGGGAUAGCUCGGCGAAAGCCGGAUUAAUACCGCAUACGACCUGAGGGUGAAAGCGGGGGCUCUUCGGACCUCGCGCUCUUGGCGCGGCCGAUGGCAGAUUAGCUAGUUGGUGGGGUAAAGGCCUACCAAGGCGACGAUCUGUAGCUGGUCUGAGAGGACGACCAGCCACACUGGGACUGAGACACGGCCCAGACUCCUACGGGAGGCAGCAGUGGGGAAUUUUGGACAAGGGGCGAAAGCCUGAUCCAGCAAUGCCGCGUGUGUGAUGAAGGCCUUCGGGUUGUAAAGCACUUUUGGCGGGAACGAAAAGGACUGUGCCAAUACCACGGUUCGAUGACGGUACCCGCAGAAUAAGCACCGGCUAACUACGUG